ensembl:lncRNA
CCUAUGAAUUUUAACACAAAGUGUACUCAAUGUAGUAGUUUACUAAUUCUACUUUUGUCAUAUACUGGCAACCUUUUUAACAUCGACUAGAUGUAAAUUAGGACUCCUAAGUCCGCUUAUAUACACUAUAUACACAGCACAGUAAAUGAAAAUGCAGACAUAAGGGACAAUAGUCAAUGUGCCUCCUCAUAAACACACUGGACACUGGUAGAAAGCCCUUUGCACUUUGUGCUCUUCCUUCCCCCGAACCAGCACAAAUAUCAAAAUGUGUACUGCUCAGAGAAUUGAUCAAUUUCCAAGACAAUAUUUCAUAUCAAAAGGAUAGCUACAAAAUGUGUUAUUUACUACCUCUACUUUUAACAUACUUUGUGCACUUCUAAACAUCUAGAAAGACUAGAUGUUUCAAAUAAGGACUUAAGUUUGUCCGCUAUAUACACAGUAGGGUUGAAUAAACUACACACAUGUAACAAUGGUUAUAUCUGAAAGUGUCUUCUAAAUAGGAACAUUCUGGUCUAGAACCCUUCAUUCCUUCCAACUCCUCUCCACCACCAACCUGGUGGAUAUAGGCACGUGUCACUUGGAGCUGAUGUUAUCUCACUUCCAAAGUCCUUUUCAGAAGACAGCCUUUCUAAAAUUUUAACAAAGUGUACAAAAUGUGUUAGUUUACUAACUCUACUUCUGUCAUACAUUGGCAACCUCUUUAAUAUCUAGAGACUAGAUAUUAUAAAAUUGGGACUCAUUUGUCCAUUAUAUACACAAUAUAUACAGUAGAGCAAAGUUAAAUGAAAUGCAUGUAACAUAUAGGCAAUGGAUUAAGCGGAAAUUUUCUAAUAAACAAUUGGCAAAACACCGUUUGCAAUUUCUUCCCUCCCACCUCCCAGGUGGUUCAACAAUUCCACUUCCAAACAGCAUUUCCAUCAGUUUUUAAAAGCUAUUUACAAAAAGUGUUAUUCUACUACCACGUUUAAAUACAUCAAGCACUUCCAAAUAUCUAGAAAGACUAGAUAUUUCAUAUAACUUGUCCACCACAUACACAGCACUGUUAAAUAAAAUUGCACACACAUAACAAUGGUUAUCAUCUGAGGUAUCUUCUAAAUGUGGCCAUUUUGGCCUUGAAUCAUUCCCUCCUCCCUUCUCUGCCUUCAAUCCAGUGGACAAGUACAGGCACGUGUAAUGCUUAGAGAUGGUUGAACAAAUUCCUAUGCAAAAGUCAUUUACAGAAGACAAGUUUUCCUAUGAAUUUCAACACAAAGCGUACAAAAUAUGCUAAUUUUACUACUUUGUCAUACACUGGCAACCUCUUUAACAUCUAGAGACUAGAUGUUGAAAAAUUAGGACUAUUUGUCCAUUAUAUACACUAUAUACAGAGCAAAACAAAAUGCACAAAACAUAUAGAAAAAUGGUGUCUGAAAACGUCCAAGUAUGAACAUACUAGUAUAUUACCUUUUGCAAUUUCUUCUCUCCCACCUCCUCUAAACCGUUGAACAAGUAUAGACAUUACUAUACUGCUCACAAAGGUGGCUUCACAAUUCAAUUUCCAAAAGUAUUUCCUAUGAAUUUUAACAAAAAGAUAUUUACAAAGUGGUAUUUUACUACCUCUACAUUUAACUACAUCGGGCACUUCUAAACAUCUAGAUAGACUAGAUGUUUCAAGUAAGGAGUUAAUUUGUCUACUAUGUAUACAGCAGUCUUGAAUAAACUGCAAACAUGUAACAACAGUUAUAAUUUGAAAGAGUCUUCCAAAAGUGAACAUUCUGGCCUAGAACCCUUCCCAUCUCCAUCAACCCAGAAGACAUCAAAUUUUCAGAAGACAAUCUUUCCUAGGACUUGUAAAACAAAAUGUACAAAAUAUAUUAGUUUACUAACUCUACUUUUGUCAUACACUGGCAACCUCUUUAACAUCCAGAAAGACUAGAUGUUGUCAAUUAGGACUCGUCUGUCCUUUAUGUACACUAUAUACACAGAUAAGUAAAACAAAAUGCACAGAGAUAAUGAUUCAUCUUGCCUCGCUGUAAACAGGACGGCAUAGAGCUCUCUGCACCUCCCCCUCCUCUGUCCUCCCCUGAACCACUGCACAAACACAAUGAGUAUUACUCAACAGGUGAUUUGGCCAUUCCCCCCAAAAAACAUUUCCUAUGAAUUGUAACAAAAAGGUAUUUACAAAAUGUGAUUUUGCUACCUCUAAUUUUAACAUAUCAGGCACUUCAGAACAUCUAAAAACAAUAAACAUCUCAAAAAAGCUUAACAUUGUCAACUAUAUACACAGUAGUGAGGAAUCAAAUGCACACAAAGCAAUGGAUAGAAUAUGAAAAUGUCUUCUAAAUAUGACCAGUCUAGCAUAGAACCUUCUUCUCUUCCUUCUCAGGUCUUCCAGCUCCAUGUCAUCUAACCCACUUAACAAACGUGGACGUAUCGCUUCCAGAGGCCGUCUUAACUCCAUUUCCAAAAGUCAUCUCCAGAAGACAUGUAUUUUCUAUGAUUUCUUUUAAACAAAUGAGAAUUUACAAGAUGUGUAACUUUCUAACUCUAUUUUAUCAUACGUCGGCAACCUCUUUCCAUCUAGAAGGGCUAGAUGUGACAAAUGUUUUCUAUUAAAAGGUUGGGGUGGAGUUGAGAGCAGCUUUUUCAUAUUAUAUACACAGGCCUUCCAUAAUCGGCCAGUAAAUCUUCCCAGAGGGUGGUGGGCAUUUCCAACGGGCCAAACGUGGCCUGUCAUUCUACCAUUUCUCUCUUCCGACAGCAAAGUCUGGGAGAACUAAGACCAAGCGCCCGAUGGCCGCUAACCGUUCCACCCGUCGUCGUUCGCAACCUCGCUCACCUUCCAGGCCCCUUAAGGCCUUUGUCCGUUGUCGUCAGGACUAGGUAGGUCUCGCCCAAUGGCGACAGAGUGGUCACCCGGGAACCGGAUCUGCGCGGCUCCGUGGCCUAAAGAGGCGGCCGAGACUGCUUGCGUCCCUAGGCCGCCUUCCCGGGCCCUCCACGCCUUAAUGGCCUCCGCCGCGCGGCGUUCGAGCGGCCGCCAUACUUCCUGGCCCACCACGCCCAGCGCUGCCCAAAGGCGCUGCGUCCCGACGGCUCUGCGGGGGUUUCGUCGAAGCCCGGCAGGCUUGGGUCGGGAGACCCCGCGGCCGGCGGGGUCCGGGCUGGGAGACGCCACGGCCGCCAUCAGUCACCGAGGUGGGGUGGGAAAGAGAGGUUCGCUGCGGCUUCAAGGCCUGAGCACAGCCAGUGGGCAGCCACAGCAGAGGCCUCAGGUAUCUGCAGGACAGAGGGCUCGGCCUGUCCCGGGGCCCCCCAGUUCACCCGCCGGCCCGGGGCCGGAGGGCCUGGAGGGCCCUGGAGGAGCGGGCUGCGUUCUGCGUCUCUCCGCGCUCUCUGCCGGACCGGAAC